rnacentral:tmRNA from 1 species
GGGGGCGACACGGCUUCGACGUGUCUAGGGAACGUGAAGCAGCGUGCCGAGGUCCCGGGACCUCGAUAAUCCACCGGGAACACUUCAAUAGCUGCCAACUCUGAUCUGGCGCUGGCCGCGUAAGGUUCUCCUUAUCGCUGGCCCGUCUCCCGAACCGCCCGCCCGAGGCGGUUCCUGAGACGUCGACGAGUCGGGCUGGCCGUCCGGAUGUGCUGUCCGUCCGGCGGCGAGACUUCAGCCAGCUGGUCCCGAAUUCGGCCGAUCGCCGGCCGGCGAGGGACGAGACGAAACGGCGAUCUACGCACGUAGGCGCUUUGCCGGAUCUAGUCGCGGACGCGGGUUCGACUCCCGCCGCCUCCAUUU